AUAUAUCAGCAUAUAAUCAUAUUAUGCAUAAUCAGAUUCGGAUUUAAUAAUUUAAUCAGAACCAAAGCUCUGAUACCACUGAAGGGAUUUAAGAGGGGUUUUUCAAAAAUUAAUCCUCUUAGCGGAACAAUCCCGAUGAACGGAUCUUGAUUAAACCAUUAAUCACAAAUCAACGAACACAAAACCACAAGUUUAUGNNNNNNNNAGUAGAAACUAUUUCUGAUCACGAGCAAAGCAAAGUAGCGAUGCGUCUACUCAGUCCACACGAACAGAACUUCUCCGAUGACCGGUGCUAGCCAAUUCCACCAGAGAUUCAGAGAGAACGGGGUUUAGAGAGCGGCGGCUAGGUUUCUAAAUUUUAGGACUAACUCUGAGGUUAAAAUUCAGCACAUAAGUGUAUUCUUUUUAUAGACUUAUUUGAGUAUCCACCGUACCUUACGGUGUGCUGUAUUUCACUUAAGUGCACCAUACUUUACGGUGUGCCGCGCUUCUCUAAUUAAAUAAUAAGUCAUACUUAAUUAUUUAAUUACUAAUAAGUUCUACUUAUUAUUUUAUAAAUAAGUCUUACUUAUUUAUUUCUCUCAUCUAUCUGUCCUUUGUGUGUGACCCUAUAGGUUAUCGUAACGUUGGCAAUAAUAUUAAAUCACAUAUUUAAUAUUAUAAACAGUGAGCGGUAUCUAGCAACACAUCACUGCUACCCAAGUGACGAGAAUGUCAUGUGAUCUGACNNNNNNNNNNNNNNNNNNNNNNNNNNNNNNNNNNNNNNNNNNNUAACGAUCGUGUGUAUAAUUACCCCUUUGCCCUUAUAUCUAUAUUGAACACAAGGCAUAGAUCGUGUCAUCCUUGUAUGGUUCAAUAUCUUAUUUCUUGAUCCCAGAAUUACUGAGUAACGAAUAAGCUCAAUAUCUCAUAUUGACUUAGUUCGGCGUGGCCACGCAUUUUAUCAGUCAUAUUCCAUCAAGAGGCCCGUAGAUAUUACUCCUGUUAUGCAUGAGGGGCAAAUUCCAUCUAGGUCACUCAUGUCCCUCAGCAUGAUUUGUGGAGUACCCAUCAACCGACU
rnacentral:lncRNA from 1 species